rnacentral:lncRNA from 1 species
UUCCAGUUUCAAUUUGUUCAUUUGGAAUCUGGGUUCUUCUACUUCAUUUUUAUUUACUUAUUUCUUUAUUAUUUUUUUCCCUCGCUUUUCUUUUUUUAUUUCUUUUUUUUUUUUUUUAUUUUAUUUUAUUCCCUUCCAUCAUUCCUUAAGUCCCAUAGGGUUGAUCCUAUAGAAUCUGAUCCAUUUUCUCGUUGAGCGAAGGGUACGAAAUAGAUCGGAUUGAUUUUUCGAUCAAAAGUACUAUGUGAAAUCUUCGGUUUUUUC